UCUGAAAGUGCUGCAUUCAUGGAUUCAUUGAUAUCUUCUUCAUCCUUUUUUGAUUCCUUUUUCUUAUCAGAUGCUACUUCCUUUUUCUCCUUCUUAUCAGAGAGUGCUGCAUUCAAACUCUCAUCAAUGUCCUUCUCUGAAAAAAACU
ensembl:ncRNA F58A4.21 ncRNA